UACGUAGGGGGCUAGCGUUGUCCGGAAUCAUUGGGCGUAAAGCGCGUGUAGGCGGCUCGGUAAGUCCGCUCUGAAAGCCCGGGGCUCAACCCCGGGAGGCGGGUGGAUACUGCCGGGCUAGAGUCCGGAAGAGGCGAGUGGAAUUCCUGGUGUAGCGGUGAAAUGCGCAGAUAUCAGGAGGAACACCAAUUGCGAAGGCAGCUCGCUGGGACGGUACUGACGCUGAGACGCGAAAGCGUGGGGAGCGAACAGG
rnacentral:rRNA from 1 species